AGAGUUUGAUCCUGGCUCAGAGCGAACGCUGGCGGCAGGCUUAACACAUGCAAGUCGAGCGGGCGUAGCAAUACGUCAGCGGCAGACGGGUGAGUAACGCGUGGGAACAUACCUUUUGGUUCGGAACAACCCAGGGAAACUUGGGCUAAUACCGGAUAAGCCCUUACGGGGAAAGAUUUAUCGCCGAAAGAUUGGCCCGCGUCUGAUUAGCUAGUUGGUGAGGUAAUGGCUCACCAAGGCGACGAUCAGUAGCUGGUCUGAGAGGAUGAUCAGCCACAUUGGGACUGAGACACGGCCCAAACUCCUACGGGAGGCAGCAGUGGGGAAUAUUGGACAAUGGGCGCAAGCCUGAUCCAGCCAUGCCGCGUGAGUGAUGAAGGCCCUAGGGUUGUAAAGCUCUUUUGUGCGGGAAGAUAAUGACGGUACCGCAAGAAUAAGCCCCGGCUAACUUCGUGCCAGCAGCCGCGGUAAUACGAAGGGGGCUAGCGUUGCUCGGAAUCACUGGGCGUAAAGGGUGCGUAGGCGGGUCUUUAAGUCAGGGGUGAAAUCCUGGAGCUCAACUCCAGAACUGCCUUUGAUACUGAAGAUCUUGAGUUCGGGAGAGGUGAGUGGAACUGCGAGUGUAGAGGUGAAAUUCGUAGAUAUUCGCAAGAACACCAGUGGCGAAGGCGGCUCACUGGCCCGAUACUGACGCUGAUGCACGAAAGCGUGGGGAGCAAACAGGAUUAGAUACCCUAGUAGUCC
rnacentral:rRNA from 1 species